CAAUAAUACCAAUGCAAAUAUAAGGUAAAAGUCCGAGUCAGCCUUUCCCGCCACAUUUACAAUCUCAAAUAUCUUGAAAAGGCGGUCCAUGACCUAACAAUAUUUUUAGCUUAUUUUAAUCUUUAAUUAAUGCUCUACCAGCUUAUAGUAUCAAUUUUAACUUCUUAAUUUAUUAAUUUUCACCUAACCUCACCUAAGUACAUCCUUAAAUUUUAAGCCUAUUUUCUACAUGUUCUCUUUACAGUAAGUCUUAUUUUAUCAAGUACUGUGGAUUCAUUAUUAUUCGUUGGAUACCAAUUUUCGUGGCUUUAGUGGGUAUAGGUGAACCACGAAAUUAAAUGUUUAACGAAUAAAACGUUUUCAAUGCAGACUUCAGCAAAACCAUGAAAUCAAUUAUCCACGAAAACAUGCAAGUUAUCCUUAAUCCACGAAAACAUGCAAGUUAUCCUUAAUCCACGAAAACAUGCAAGUUAUCCUUAAUCCACGAAAAGUCAUACCCACGAAAAUAAAUGAAUCCACAGUAACAAUUAUUAACUAGGAAAUACUACAAACUAUUCAAAAACUUCGUUUAAAUUUUAUUGUCUUCAGUAUAAUUAGUUUAAUUUUAAUUUUGGCACCAAUAUGAGACUAUGAUUGUCCUUUUCACUUCAUAAAACUUUUAUUUUAAAAAUUUCUAACACUAACAAAUGUGAAAAUGUACAUUAAAAUUUAUAUUUACAAUAAUCAGAAUUUUAACUAUUAAGUAGAGCAUAUGAUUAAAGCAUAUACAGGGUUCUCGCUAAGGCGAGUCCAUGAGUCCUGGACUCAUCAAAAUCUGUCUGGACUCACCAUUUUCAAACUGGUGAUCCACAGAUGCAUCAAGAUUAAAAUAUUUUGUAUAAACUGAACACAGUUAAACACAAAUAUGAAAUAUCAUCAUUUUACAGCAAAAGUUAAAAGUAAUCUGAAUUUAAUGUCAUUCUAUUGCUCUGUUAGACUAAAAUAUUACAUUAUAUUUCAAUAAAAUAUCUUCUUCUUGCUGUUAGACUCACCGAGGCCAAAAAUGACAAGUCCCUGGACUCGCCCAUAAAUCCUUAGCAAGAUCCCUGAUAUAUAGAUGUGUGAUAAAUGGUUAUUUGGCAAUUUUUUCUUCCACAAUAUAACAAUCUAUACAAAACUAACUUUAACCCUACACCUAAGCCUAUAACUAUAUCUUUUAAACUCUUACACAAUUCUAACCUUUAACCUAAAACAACCCCUGACCUACUAGGUAUUGCUUACUGUUAAGUGAACCCUAAUCUGACAUCAUAGAUGCCAUUUUAAAGUUUGAAUUUAGCAAGAAUCUAUAGGAUAUAUUUGUCAAAUAAAACAUCUGUUUAACAGUACAUAUUUUGAUUAAUUUAAACACAUACAAUAUGCUUUCAGCACUUGCUUUCAUAUACUUUUGACACAAGUAUCACCAUGGCUACAACUUGUUCUUCUUUCACAAUGGUUAUUGAAUUUGUUAGGAUGUAUCACGAUAGUAAGUUUUUCUGUACAUAUGUUGUAUUUCUUCCACCAAUAAAUAGACUCUAAAAAUCCCAUCCCUUCCACAAUUGUUAUGUCUGAGGAUUUAUACUUAUAAAACCCUGUAAAUUAUCUCCUCUGCAGGUUCAUUCUAAGUAAACCCUGUAAAUUAUCUCCUCUGCAGGUUCAUUCUAAGUAAGAAUAUGUUACUUAUGGACAAAGUGUGACUUAAACAUCAAUGAGACAGCUACUCAAAGAUACUUUUUUUCUUUCUAAUGUAAGUUUGCUUUAAAAUACGGAAUCAAGAAGGACAAUAAGUUUUUUAAGCGAUACACUAUUCUUACAUUUCUUUUGUUCAUAUUACAUUCAAUUAUAUCUAAUCAGUCAACAAAAUGUAAAUUAAAACAAAAUUUUAAUGAGAUGCUAGGAUUACUAGAUUAC
rnacentral:lncRNA from 1 species